GUCCACGCCGUAAACGAUGGAUACUAGCUGUUCGGAGCAAUCUGAGUGGCUAAGCGAAAGUGAUAAGUAUCCCACCUGGGGAGUACGUUCGCAAGAAUGAAACUCAAAGGAAUUGACGGGGGCCCGCACAAGCGGUGGAGCAUGUGGUUUAAUUCGAUGAUACGCGAGGAACCUUACCAAGGCUUAAAUGGGGAUUGACCGGCUUGGAAACAGGCCUUUCGCAAGACAAUCUUCAAGGUGCUGCAUGGUUGUCGU
rnacentral:rRNA from 1 species